CCAAUCUGAUACAAAAACCCAAAUCAGGCCCAAAAUUGGGUCGACCCGGGUCCAGUUCCUACAAAAAAUCAGAACAAAGGGAGGCAUUAGGUCUAAUUAGGAAUCUAUUCCUUAGCUCCGCCUCUUGGCCUUCCUCUGCCUUUAUCAGACUCUCAUCGCCUCUCUGUUCUGCUGCCAUUGACCACCUCUUUGCCAUCAUCAUCUUCAUGCUUCAUUAAAGAUUCCUCCUGAUUCAAGAUUAUUAGAAGAGCUAAUUCAACUGGUUGAUGGAAAAACUUGGUGACCCAGUCCUUUGUCCACAUCCCCUUAUUCCCUUCUCCACUAUUAGUAUCAUCAUUCUGCUUAUUCUGAUGUAAUAACUUUGUUAUAAUGCUGUAAUUUCUCCUCUAUUUCCUCAGUUGGAGCAUUGAGUUGAUUAGUAGUACUGAUCUUCUCAUGUGUGAUACCAUUCUCACCUUGACACCCUUUGUUAGGGAAUCUUAUUCUUGUAGGAUGCCACUGAUUUUGAGGAAUUUUCUAGUAAUUCUCUUGUCCUCUUA